AUCGCUUCUCGGCCUUUUGGCUAAGAUCAAAGUGUAGUAUCUGUUCUUAUCAGCUUAAUAUCUGAUACGGGUCCUAUUUGGACCCAAGAUAUUAAACUUAUUUUUGGAAUGCGGCGAGUGCUUGAGGCUUGCCUCACCUCCGCCACGGGUUGGCCCGGUAUUGCACUGCCUCCGGGAUCGGCCCACUCACC
rnacentral:snRNA from 1 species